GCGUGUUAUAACCUUUGAUUCUCUAUAAGUGAUCCUAAAUUCUAUGUAAUAAAUAUUGUUUCUGCUCUGCCUGAAAUUAUGAAAAAUAAUAAGUGGAAGAUAGGAUAUGACUUUGAAAUGAUUUGAAAAUAAAAUAGAAAUAAUGGAAAUGUGUUAAAACUGAAAGGAGAUAUGUAAAAAAAACAAGCACUAUAUUGCGAUGUUUACAAUUUGCUACAUUUUUGUCUAUUUCUAGAAAACUGAUACACUAGAGUUGUUCACUGAGAUGAAAGACAAAGAGAAGACAGAGGAAAGAAUCACACUACAAGAGGAAAGUGUUCGAAUUCCAUGCAACAUUCAAAACGAAAGACAAAAAAGACAGUUCUGUGCAAGUAAGCAAAAGACUUAAAUAAUAUUUUAUCUAGCAAUCAUAUUUGGGUAAUCUAGGACCCACCAUGCAGCUAAUUCAAGGGAGCACCCUCUUUGGAAGAUGAGGUAUUACAUAAUGGCAUUCUCCAGUGCUCUGAAAACAGAACCCAGGAGGACAUGAUUCUAUGCAGAAACUCUCAAAGAGACUAGGAUAAAGGAUAAAAUGGGCAUUCCUGAUCCGUAUCUGCUCACUUGGAACAUCUCCCCCGCUAACUUUAGAGGUAUACAAGUCCCAUGAGUAGAUACAGGCAGCCCAAGAAAGUGUUUUUUAUCCCACUUGCUUGACUGAGAGCAUAUAUUCAUUAUCUGCAUAGUUGUUCCAACAUUAAUGAUCAAUAUUUAAAUAAGAAAGCUCAAUAUUUAACAGAGCUUCACAUUUUACAAAGGCAAUCCCUCUGAUUUGAUUAAAAAAAAAAAAAGUAAAAUCUUGGAAUCUCACUUUCCAAAUCUGAUGGCAUAAUACACUUUGGUCAUGCAAGCGUAAAGCCGCUUAUUAAUUGUACCUCUGCGUUUUAAGAACUCUCUCUACUUAGAUGGCUGUGAAUGCAUGCCAAGUCGGUUUAGUCCUGUCCAACUCUUUGUGACCCUAUGGACUGUAGCCUGCCAGGCACCUCUGUNNNNNNNNNNNNNNNNNNNNNNNNNNNNNNNNNNNNNNNNNNNNNNNNNNNNNNNNNNNNNNNNNNNNNNNNNNNNNNNNNNNNNNNNNNNNNNNNNNNGUCCAACUCUUUGUGACCCUAUGGACUGUAGCCUGCCAGGCACCUCUGUCUAUGGGAUUCUCCAGGCAAUGGAGGAUUGCCAUGUACUCCUCCAGGGGAUGGUCCCAACCCAGGGAUCGAACCUACAUCUCUUUACGUCUCCUGCAUUGCAAGUGGAUACUUUACCACUAGCACCCACUCAGAUGGCUACAUGGCACCAGCUACCCACUAAGAGGAUGAUAGGAGGAGGAGAACUAUGCAGUCUAAGCAGAAUAACCCCAGAGUUUCUUAAUGACGCCAUGAGAGUCAAAAUUAAGUACUUUCAUAGUUGCCUGCAGCUUAAGUUAAAAAACAUUGUGAGAUAGAGGCGCAAACCCAGCAGUCCAUCCGGGCAGUUACACCAGGAAGAACACCUGGUCCAACUUCUGACUCAAACUAGAUAUAAAACAGAGAAUUGUAAACAUCUUAGAACAGAGGGAAUUCAGAGCUGGAAAUAACAACAAAGAGCGUAUCUUAGUUUUAUAAAGAGAAAGCACUGUCCAAAAAUGGAGAAGCAAUUUAAAUUUUCUGCGGUACAUUUAUUUCUCAGGAAAGUUGCUUCCAACUGAGAGCAUUCGCUCCUUCACAGACUGUGCUCAGUGGCUCCAAUACAUUCCAGCCCACAAAUACCUGUAAUGAUUGCAGACUACAGACAACCACAAAAAGGCAUCAAAAAAGACAAGGAAAAAAAAAAAAAGACCAAAGGAAGAUACUUAAUGAAAAAGAUUUGAGCGAUAUAUGACACUGGUUUUCUUAUUUUCAUGUAAAGUGAAUGAUACCACUGAAGUUCAAAGCUGUUCGCUUUUCCCAGAAACCCAAUUUCGAAUUCUUUCAAAGAGGAACACUUUGAAAAGACUGAAACAACAAGGAACAAAAGAAAUUCAUACAUGAGGAAUGUGCUUUCAGAAACAGUCUCUAAACUGAAAUCUGUGGGAACCCUACGUAUUUAAUUGAGGACAGUAAAUUGUUCUAAUUAGAAAUAUCUUGUAAGUGAUGAAGACAGUUCAGCAGCUAACAGCCCUCUUAGGUCUUUGCCAUUAAAAGAACCUUAAUAAACUCUAACUGUCUUGCCACCUCUAUAUCCAGCUCACAAGAAAUGCUCCAAGUAAAACCAGUGAUUGUGGUAGGUGAUGUUUGCAAGCAUUUAUAACUAGGAAUGAAGGGAGCAGACAAGAAGGAUAACUACUUCAUGCGGAUGCUUUCCAAAUUUCCUGGAUGUUAAAAAUUGCCUGAAGUAAUUUUUUAAAAUAUAAAAUUCUGCAAGGAGUUAUGGUUACAAACACAAGUUCCUGUUAAAAUUACCACUAAUCUAAGAGUCACUGACUAAUAAACCCCCCAAGAAGGAAUAGGAAGUUGCAUGCUCAGGGACCCAAAGAAUAAUUAUCAACAUGAUAAUCUUGGAAAUAAGUGAUACCAAUAAUGGAACAUUUCAUGCAAAGAUGGGAACAAUAAAGGACAGAAAUUAUAUGGACCUAAUAGAAGCAGAAGAUAUUAAGAAGAGGU
rnacentral:lncRNA from 1 species